AUGGUGAUAAUGGUCCCGA
rnacentral:piRNA from 1 species